rnacentral:rRNA from 1 species
CCUACGGGAGGCAGCAGUGAGGAAUAUUGGUCAAUGGACGAGAGUCUGAACCAGCCAAGUAGCGUGAAGGAUGACUGCCCUAUGGGUUGUAAACUUCUUUUUUAUGGGAAUAAAACAGGGUAUGCAUACCCUCUUGUAUGUACCAUAUGAAUAAGGAUCGGCUAACUCCGUGCCAGCAGCCGCGGUAAUACGGAGGAUCCGAGCGUUAUCCGGAUUUAUUGGGUUUAAAGGGAGCGUAGGUGGAUUGUUAAGUCAGUUGUGAAAGUUUGCGGCUCAACCGUAAAAUUGCAGUUGAAACUGGCAGUCGUGAGUACAGUAGAGGUGGGCGGAAUUCGUGGUGUAGCGGUGAAAUGCUUAGAGAUCACGAAGAACUCCGAUUGCGAAGGCAGCUCACUGGACUGCAACUGACACUGAUGCUCGAAAGUGUGGGUAUCAAACAGGAUUAGAUACCCCUGUAGUC